AAGCCCCCUUCGGGGGGCAAGUAGAGUGGCGCACGGGUGAGUAACACGUAGGUAAUCUACCUUUGGAUGGGGAAUAACAACCGGAAACGGUUGCUAAUACCGCAUAAUGCAGCGGCACCUAAUGGUGACAGUUGUUAAAGCGGGGGAUCGCAAGACCUCGCGUCUGAAGAGGAGCCUGCGGCGGAUUAGCUAGUUGGUAAGGUAACGGCUUACCAAGGCUAUGAUCCGUAGCCGGCCUGAGAGGGCGGUCGGCCACACUGACACUGACAUACGGGUCAGACUCCUACGGGAGGCAGCAGUCGGGAAUUUUGGGCAAUGGGCGAAAGCCUGACCCAGCAACGCCGCGUGAAGGAUGAAAUCCUUCGGGAUGUAAACUUCGCAAGAACAGGAAGAGUAAGUAAGAGUUAAUAUCUCUUACGAUGACGGUACUGUUUGUAAGCUCCGGCUAACUCCGUGCCAGCAGCCGCGGUAAUACGGGGGGAGCAAGCGUUGUUCGGAUUUACUGGGCGUAAAGGGCGCGUAGGCGGCACUGCAAGUCGACUGUGAAAUCUCCGGGCUUAACCCGGAAAGGUCAGCCGAUACUGCGGGGCUAGAGUGCAGAAGGGGCAACUGGAAUUCUCGGUGUAGCGGUGAAAUGCGUAGAUAUCGAGAGGAACACCUGCGGCGAAGGCGGGUUGCUGGGCUGACACUGACGCUGAUGCGCGAAAGCUAGGGGAGCGAACGGGAUUAGAUACCCCGGUAGUCCUAGCCUUAAACGAUGAAUGCUUGGUGUCUGGGGUUUUAUAGUCCCCGGGUGCCGU
rnacentral:rRNA from 1 species